rnacentral:rRNA from 1 species
GGAGGAUCAUUAGUGAAUAUAGGACGUCCAACUUAACUUGGAGUCCGAACUCUCACUUUCUAACCCUGUGCACUUGUUUGGGAUAGUAACUCUCGCAAGAGAGCGAACUCCUAUUCACUUAUAAACACAAAGUCUAUGAAUGUAUUAAAUUUUAUAACAAAAUAAAACUUUCAACAACGGAUCUCUUGGCUCUCGCAUCGAUGAAGAACGCAGCGAAAUGCGAUAAGUAAUGUGAAUUGCAGAAUUCAGUGAAUCAUCGAAUCUUUGAACGCACCUUGCGCUCCAUGGUAUUCCGUGGAGCAUGCCUGUUUGAGUGUCAUGAAUACUUCAACCCUCCUCUUUCUUAAUGAUUGAAGAGGUGUUUGGUUUCUGAGCGCUGCUGGCCUUUACGGUCUAGCUCGUUCGUAAUGCAUUAGCAUCCGCAAUCGAACUUCGGAUUGACUUGGCGUAAUAGACUAUUCGCUGAGGAAUUCUAGUCUUCGGAUUAGAGCCGGGUUGGGUUAAAGGAAGCUUCUAAUCAGAAUGUCUACAUUUUAAGAUUAGAUCUCAAAUCAGGUAGGACUACCCGCUGAACUUAAGCAUAUCAAUAAGCGGAGGAAAAGAAACUAACAAGGAUUCCCCUAGUAGCGGCGAGCGAAGCGGGAAGAGCUCAAAUUUAUAAUCUGGCACCUUCGGUGUCCGAGUUGUAAUCUCUAGAAAUGUUUUCCGCGUUGGACCGCACACAAGUCUGUUGGAAUACAGCGGCAUAGUGGUGAGACCCCCGUAUAUGGUGCGGACGCCCAGCGCUUUGUGAUACAUUUUCGAAGAGUCGAGUUGUUUGGGAAUGCAGCUCAAAUUGGGUGGUAAAUUCCAUCUAAAGCUAAAUAUUGGCGAGAGACCGAUAGCGAACAAGUACCGUGAGGGAAAGAUGAAAAGCACUUUGGAAAGAGAGUUAACAGUACGUGAAAUUGUUGGAAGGGAAACGCUUGAAGUCAGACUUGCUUGCCGAGCAAUCGGUUUGCAGGCCAGCAUCAGUUUUCCGGGAUGGAUAAUGGUAGAGAGAAGGUAGCAGUUUCGGCUGUGUUAUAGCUCUCUGCUGGAUACAUCUUGGGGGACUGAGGAACGCAGUGUGCCUUUGGCGGGGGUUUCGACCUCUUCACACUUAGGAUGC